rnacentral:ncRNA from 1 species
ACAAAUGCAGUGAUGGAGACAAGUACGCAGUGCCUGGCCAACAGGGAGGAGACGCCGCAGAUUGAGAGCGUUUCUGGGAGAGCAGAGCUGCCGAAGUUCACUCCGGAGCAGUUCCCUGAAUAUUUGAGUAGGGGAUACCGGCCGCAGACCGUUAUUUCUGUUAAAGUGAGACAGGUCUUUACCGUGCCCGAAGAGGGAAUACCUCUUUUUAUAGGGAUAGGGUACAGCUUGUCUAACAAGGGUGGUACCACGGUCUUUUCGUCCCUUAC